rnacentral:rRNA from 1 species
CCUACGGGAGGCAGCAGUGAGGAAUAUUGGUCAAUGGACGCAAGUCUGAACCAGCCAAGCCGCGUGCAGGAAGACGGCUCUAUGAGUUGUAAACUGCUUUUAUACGAGGAUAAACGCAGAUACGCGUAUCUUUCUGAAAGUAUCAUACGAAUAAGGAUCGGCUAACUCCGUGCCAGCAGCCGCGGUAAUACGGAGGAUUCGAGCGUUAUCCGGAUUUAUUGGGUUUAAAGGGUGCGUAGGCGGUUUGAUAAGUUAGUGGUGAAAGUCCGCGGCUCAACCUCGGAAUUGCCGCUGAUACUGGUAGUCUAGAGAGCAGUAGCGGUAGGCGGAAUGCAUGGUGUAGCGGUGAAAUGCUUAGAGAUCAUACAGAACACCGAUUGCGAAGGCAGCUCACCAAGCUACUACUGACGUUGAGGCACGAAAGUGUGGGUAGCAAACAGGAUUAGAUACCCCAGUAGUC